GCUCCGGGAGCCCAGGCUCCAGCCGCGCCCCGAUCCCCAACCUUUGGCCCCGCCCGCCCUAAUGAGGGGCGGAGGGUGGAGGAGGCUCUGCAGUACAGGUAUCCGGUGUCCCGGGAGCCCGGAGGCGGAGGAUUAACGCUGGGGGCGGGGGCGACGUGGGAGACGCCUGGUGGAGGGCUCGAGCGUCCGGCAUUCCUCCCUUCCAGGUGCGGGGGGGGGCCUUGAGGAAGGCGCGGAGGUGAGCGGCGAAAGUGGAGGCAAGUCGUGGGAGAUGCGCUUGAGGAGGGCGCUGUGCCAGGGGGUCUGGGCCUCACGGCAUGGGCAGCAUUCACACGCUGCGACAGUGCCCACCGUACCCUGCACCCGGGCCGGCUGCUGCUUCGCCGUGGCACUCCACAAAACGCCGUAACAGCCAUCAGGCCCUGCCCCGGGUGGGAGCACGGAGGGAGCCUCGCACCCGCUGUGCAGGCGGAAACCCACCUGCAGUGGGGAGGGCUAGGAGAGGCCUGGAGGAUGCCAGGCAGCGGGUGGCGCCACUGUGCAGGCUCCCAGGAAGGACCCGUGGUGGGAGCAGACCCGUGGAGGGGUUGAGGUGGGAGUGGGGGAGGAGGCUGGGAACCUGUGGCCCGGGACCUGUGGCCAGGUGAUCAAGGAGCUCGGACUUCAUCCUAAGGACAGUGUGGCGCCAAAGGAGGGUUUGAUGCCAGCUGAGACCUGCUCAGAUGAGGGUUUUGGAGAGCUGCCGGGCGCCAAACAGAGUGGAUGGGAGAGCAGGACUGGGGGUGGGGAUGGUCAGAUGUCCACCCAGAGGCCCUGAGCUAGAAGAGGUUGGGGCAGAGGGUAGGGAAGGGGGUGGGCUGGGUAUUCGCAGUUUGCUGCCCAGACCUGCCCUCCUCCCUUUCCACCCUCCCAGUGCUCCCGGACAGACAGCCCCAUCCCCCACCCACCGCUGGCUUCCUGGACCCUGACUUCCUCCAAGGUGAGGGAGCGGGGAGACAAGGAUGGUGCCCAGUGGUCACCUGAGCCACUGCUGCCACUGGGAAACAGGAACCAAUUCUGAAGUCCAUGAGGAAAAUAAAGGUUCAAGAAUAAAGAACCCAAAAAGACUUGAACGGACAUGUCUCCAAAGAAAAUGCACCAGUGACCAACAAACAGCACAUGGAAAGAUGCUCAGCAUCGUUUGUCACGGGGAAAUGCAAAUCACACCCUCGGUGAGGUAACACCUCACACCCACUGGGAUGGCUACUAUCAAAAAAAAUCCAAAAAAAGAAAAUAAUGAGGAUGUGAUGCUUGGAGCUGCAGCAGCCAUCAGACAACCAAGAGGAGAAGACCAGGAACAGAGCAGAGAGACCAGUCCAGAUUCCUGCCAUUGCUGACCUGGACCCAGCGCCGAUAAACGCCUUUCUCUUAUUCAGUCAAACAGGCAAAAAGCCCUCACUGUCGUUUAAGCUCCUUUGGGUUGAAUGUUCUGUUACUUGCAGUCCAAACAUCUGUGUAUCAUAGUGUGUUUAGAUCAGCUUUCUCCAGACUGUUGUUUAGAAUAUUAGUGGUAAAUGUUUCUGUAAAAGAAAAGUCAAUUUUAGUGAUAUAUGUAUAUAUUUUUAAAAAUAAAAAUGUGUUAUCCCUGCCCCGCCCCGCCCCGGGCGUGACCUCUGGGCACUGAGCCUCUGUUUCUGGCGACCGCCACGAUGCGGUCUCUUCUCUUUAGGGAGGGGGAAGUUGGGAAGAAACUCCUUGAGGGCUUCUCCAGGAUGACCCGUGAGCCAGGAUACCUGCAGAACGGGCUGGGACCGAGCUCUCGAGAACCUCCCUGUGACGUCCGUCCAUUCCAUCAGCCCUACGUACGCACUGCGCAGCCCGGAGCGUGGCCGUGGGAGGACGGGCAAAGAAAGGCACUCCCAUCAGGGAGAUGUCUGGAGCACCGGCCCCUCUGACAGCGAGUUGGGGACAUCCCACGGAUCAUGGAUGCAGCUGUGGAUGGAGGCACCGAGAACACAGCCAGGAAGAGGGGCAGCCUCCCCACCCCGUCAUUUGGUGGACUUGUGUGGCAGUUCUCUGCGUCGUGUGUUAAUCCUGGCAUGGGCGGCAUGCACACCGACAGUGGGCAGGAACGGGGUGAUGGUGGUGAUCGCUGCCACUGUAUUAGCAGAAGUGACCGUCCCGAAGCUCUUCUCCCGGGGCCUUUCUCACCCACCCCUGCCCAGACUGAGACCUGCCCGCGGGUCUCCGAGGGCUCUCUCAGGAAGCAAGCAGACUCCCGACAGGUCGGGGUGCCUGAGUGAUGGCGGCACUUGUCCAGUGGGUGGCCUUCCUCGUGGUCACUUGGAUUCUCCUCCUGCCUGGGAAGCGGGACCGUGCAAAGCCAGCCCUGGCACUGUGGGGACGACUUGGCUCACACAUGAGUCACCGGAGGAAAGCCGGGCCUGGAGACGAGGUCCCCCCAGUGAAAGUUGACGCUGUGACACCCGUGGGUGACUUUGUCGAAUGGCUAGUGAAAAACUGACUCAUUUGCUGCCCACAGAUGUGGCACCGUGUGCACAUACGUGUGGUCACCUGCUGGGGCCGUGGGGUGAUGUUCUGGUCCCUUCUGUAGUCAGCAAGCCGGCAGUGGAGCUUCGAAUGAAGACUGGCGGGAGAGUCCCCCGGCCCUGGGAACUGAAGGCUUCCGCAUUCGUCAAAAGACCACUUUUUGUGAAGCAAAGUGCCUUUCGAUUUUGAGUCACAGAAUGGAAGUUUUUGUUUCAUGUCUCGGAUUGAUUUUGUAUUUUUUGACACUUCACACUUAUUUCCUUUGUGUGUUUUAACUCAUGCACAUAUGCUCUUUGAAUAGCAUUAGACCUUUAAUAAAAGUCAGCAUGUUUUUUUAAAUGUGUUACAACA